rnacentral:rRNA from 1 species
AACGUAGGAGGCGAGCGUUAUCCGGAUUUACUGGGCGUAAAGGGCGUGUAGGCGGUUCGGCAAGUUGGAUGUGAAAGCUCCUGGCUUAACUAGGAGAGGUCGUUCAAUACUACCGAACUUGAGGGCAUCAGAGGAAGGUGGAAUUCCGGGUGUAGUGGUGAAAUGCGUAGAUAUCCGGAGGAACACCAGUGGCGAAGGCGGCCUUCUGGGGUGCUCCUGACGCUGAAACGCGAAAGCUAGGGUAG